GAAGUAGUGUGUAUGAAACCAGAAAAAUCUCUCUGGAUCUUCUUUAUCAGAACAAGAUGUCUCAGAUCAGAAGAUUAACCAGAACUGGAUCAGAGAGCUCCACCACUGAGAACAGUCUGGAAAAAGUGCUUACAGAAAUAGAACGGGAUUUAAACAAAUGUGCAAGAAGAAAAAAGGAAUUGAAUAAAAAAUCUAAAAUGGACCAACAAACAUUUAAGAAGAAAUCCAAACUACUUAUAAAUUCAAGAAAAAUGGCUUUAAUAUCCAAGAAUGAACCUAAAAGCAG